GAACGAAAUCGGUCGCCGUCCCUCGCGGUACCGAAUGUACCUGUGUUCGAUCGGUACGGACGAUAAAGACGUUCGGUUUUCGGGACGUUUUCGUACGACUUCCGGUACAUUGACUCCGCCGUUGCGUAUACGCCGGCGAACGUCGUCCGUGAACCGCCACCCGAAGUCUGGAGUUCCGUAAUUAAUCUAAUCCGACGGCCGUAAUCGGAAAUCGUCGCGAGAAC